rnacentral:rRNA from 1 species
GACGAAGGUGGCAAGCGUUGUUCGGAAUCACUGGGCUUAAAGGGCGCGUAGGCGGCUCAUCAAGCGUCUUGUGAAAUCCCCCGGCUCAACCGGGGAACUGCUGGGCGGACUGAUGAGCUUGAGGCAGGUAUGGGCGAGUGGAACUCUUGGUGGAGCGGUGGAAUGCGUAGAUAUCAAGAGGAACGCCAAUGGUGAAGACAGCUCGCUGGGCCUGACCUGACGCUGAGGCGCGAAAGCCAGGGGAG